rnacentral:rRNA from 1 species
CUAGGUGGCAAUAUCUAAUCACCUCUGGCUGAUCUUAACAAGCUAAGUAGGUUUAGACUUCAUUAGUAUUUGAAUGGGAGACCACCAGAAAAUUCCAGGGCUAUAUGCU